CAUGCAAGUCGAGCGGAAGGCCCUUCGGGGUACUCGAGCGGCGAACGGGUGAGUAACACGUGAGCAACCUGCCCCAAGCUUUGGGAUAACCCUCGGAAACGGGGGCUAAUACCGAAUAUUACUGCUGGUCGCAUGGCUGGUGGUGGAAAGUUUUUCGGCUUGGGAUGGGCUCGCGGCCUAUCAGCUUGUUGGUGGGGUGAUGGCCUACCAAGGCGACGACGGGUAGCCGGCCUGAGAGGGCGACCGGCCACACUGGGACUGAGACACGGCCCAGACUCCUACGGGAGGCAGCAGUGGGGAAUAUUGCACAAUGGGCGGAAGCCUGAUGCAGCGACGCCGCGUGAGGGAUGACGGCCUUCGGGUUGUAAACCUCUUUCAGCAGGGACGAAGCGAGAGUGACGGUACCUGCAGAAGAAGCACCGGCCAACUACGUGCCAGCAGCCGCGGUAAGACGUAGGGUGCGAGCGUUGUCCGGAUUUAUUGGGCGUAAAGAGCUCGUAGGCGGCUUGUCGCGUCGACCGUGAAAACUUGGGGCUCAACCCCAAGCCUGCGGUCGAUACGGGCAGGCUAGAGUUCGGUAGGGGAGACUGGAAUUCCUGGUGUAGCGGUGAAAUGCGCAGAUAUCAGGAGGAACACCGGUGGCGAAGGCGGGUCUCUGGGCCGAUACUGACGCUGAGGAGCGAAAGCGUGGGGAGCGAACAGGAUUAGAUACCCUGGUAGUCCACGCUGUAAACGUUGGGCGCUAGGUGUGGGGGGCCUCU
rnacentral:rRNA from 1 species